CUUUACAAACCUACUCUUAGUUUGAUAUGGGUAAUAGAAAUCAUGUUUCUUCGUUCUCCUUUAUUUUAAUUUUCUUCACCGUCCAAAGUAACAUUCAUGAUGAUUUUUAAUGAGUAUAUUUUAUACUUCUCUCUUUUUCGCGUAUCACGAAGUUUCCUUUCUUACGUUUAAUUCGAUUUUGUUCCUUGCUCGAACACCAUGGAUAAUAAGAUUUUAUAAUUGAACAAGUUUCUCGAUAACUUCGAUGUGACGGACAAAAAGGAUGGUUGAAUGUAAAAAGUCAGGUAUUAUUUAAUUCUAAGAUCAUUCAAUUCGGAAACAUUAAGAUGUGUUCGAGCAAAGUUUAAAAUUACCCAAUAUCUAUGUAUAUUUCUAAGGCUAUUCCUGUACAAAAUGAUGUCACAUGCUUAGAUCAUCAAGAUUAAUGAAUGUUAUGUAUAUACAAAAAAUUACGACUUCUUCAUGUCUUAACCUCUCGAAUGUUUAAACGUUAUUUUUUUUUGCUAUAGAUACAUGCAUACAUACAUGUUAAUCCAAAUUUUAUAAUAGGUUAUGUACCCUUCGUAUUGUAUAUUUGCAAAAAUCAAUUUAUAUAUAUCAAAACGUUAGCUCAUCGGACGCAUCAUUAUAAUUAAUUAAAACUUAAAUGUUUUGAUACAAUAGCGAUAAUGUUUACGAUUAAUUUCGAUGUAUGUGGAAAGAUUUGAAAGAUCUUUCCCUGUCGAUAAUAUUCAAAUUAUAAACAUUUUUUGCGAUUGUGAAAUGUAUAUAUUUAUUAUGCGAAUCGUAAAAGCGUAGUAUCAUAUCGCUUAACAUAAAAACAAUGACGAAUGAACAAUUCGCGCGUUUUACGUCAUUGUGUCGAAGAAGUUAACAUUUCGAUUAAUCGUGUCAGACAACAUGGAAUCAACGAAAGGAAAAAAAGUGAUCACGGGAUCCCAUUCUAUUAUAUUGCAAAUAUAGGUUUCCAAUUGAUGAGAUAUUUCUUCAUCGAAUCUCUAUCGAACGAAAUCUUUAUGCAAUCUAUGUUACAAAAGAUUGUUACAAAGAUUCUAACAUCACAGUCAAAAAAUAUAGUACUAUGCGAUAAACAAACAUGUUAUACCGCUCGUCAGGUAACUCAUUCGUCAGUAAAAAUCUACUAUAAUAAGCAA